rnacentral:rRNA from 1 species
UUCCAUAGUAACGGCGAGUGAACUGGAAAGAGCUCAACGCUGAAUCGCACGGCAAACCUGUCGUAGCGAACUGUAGCGUAUAAGCGUAACUGCAUCGAUGACUAACCAUACACACUCAAAGUUCCUUUGACUGGGGCAAGUUCCAGAGAAGGUGCAAGGCCUGUAUGAGUGGUUGGCAGUUGUCGAUACUGGUUAUUGCUGUAGAGUCGAGUUGCCUGAAAGCGCAGCUCAAAGUUGGUGGUAAACCUCAUCUAAAGCUAAAUACGACUUCGAGACCGAUAGCGAACAAGUACCGCGAGGGAAAGUUGCAAAGAACUUCGAAGGGAGAGUUCAAGAGGACGUGAAACCACUAGGGGGGAAGCGGAUGGAGUUAACAGCAUAAUGAUGACAUUCAGCCAAUGGUAUCUAUGCAUCUGCUAUACGCUGUGUUUUCGGUAACAACGGACACUGGUAUGCAUGCCAAUUGUAUGUACCAUUGGUGUUUUUGCCAUCAUUGGCGCGCUGAGGCGCUUAGAGUGAUGUGUUGCAGUAGGUUAGUAGAGGACUGCGCUGUUUAUCAAUGCAGAACCCUAUAAUUUACUAAUACAUAUUCGCUACAAGCGUUGCAAGUACUGGUCCUACCCGCUACGGCGCAUCAGCACAGCUAUGACUGCAUCGGUGCUUGUCAGUGACAUUGUCACUGGGCUUGUUGUCGAAGUGCGGUUGUGGUUGUGUUUGUUGCGUAGGUAGAGACUGGACCUCGGUGUAAACAGUUGACCACCCAUCCGACCCGUCUUGAAACACGGACCAAGGAGUGUAGCGUAUACGCAAGUUAUUGAGUGGCAAACUCAAAAGCGAAGUGAAAGUGAAGGUACGGCUUAUGCCGGCUGAUAUGCGAUCCGUGUAGGUGUCAGCAACUACACGGCGCAUCAUAGUCCCGUCCGGAUUGCUUGCAAUAGGGCGGAGACAGAGCGUAUACGGUGCGACCCGAAAGAUGGUGAACUAUG